CAAAAUCGAUCAAAAUCAUACGAAGACUUAGAUUUAUAAGUGUUUAUAUACAGUCUAAGUCCAAAUCUUGCUUCGGAAUAUUUUUCCCACCUGGACUGAAACUUGACAGAGGACCCAUAGAGUAACCUGGAGAUGCAUUAAAAACAGCGCAGGCCAAGGAGGAUCAUUAUGAUUCACUUAUCCAGUCGUAAAUGAGGCGUCAUGGACUUCUGCUCCUUUGGGAAUCUCCAGCCCUUUGAAAAGAAAAUAGAGGUUAAAAAUCCGCUAAAUGAGUUAGCAGCAACCUGGAUCCUUCUCUUCCACAGAACAAUUCUAUCAGCCAGGUGACUGUGAGGAGGCAGGAUGACCUGAUGUCACUCACAUUGUUGCCUCUGCCUUUGAAGGGCCCAGCUCUCCUCUCAGCCCUGGAAUGGGAUGGCUAAAUAGAUUCUCUGUGUUUACCACUGGCCUCCCUCCCAGUGCACACUUCAAUUUGUCUUAAUAAUAAAAGGUGGACAGAAGAGUUGGAGUUUCCCAAACAAUGGAUGAAUUUUUUAUCAAAUGGUUGAAUUGAGUUGCAAGUGGAACAAUAUUUAUUCAUAGGUGUUUAUUCAGAGAUAUCCCAUUGAAAAGUGAAUGAUACAACAAGUGUAGAGGUUUCUGUGAGCUGGAUUUUCCUGUGCUAGCUAAGGAUAAACAGGAUUAAUGAAUUAUUAUUUUCCCACCUGAUUUUCACUGUUUGCACAAUAUAUACUUAGUGUGGCUCUCAAUAAAAGAUAGAAGCACUAGAUU